CCUACGGGUGGCAGCAGUGAGGAAUAUUGGUCAAUGGACGAGAGUCUGAACCAGCCAAGUAGCGUGAAGGAUGACUGCCCUAUGGGUUGUAAACUUCUUUUAUCAAGGAAUAAAACGAGGCACGUGUGCCUUUUUGCAUGUACUUUAUGAAUAAGGAUCGGCUAAAUCCGUGCCAGCAGCCGCGGUCAUACGGAGGAUCCGAGCGUUAUCCGGAUUUUGUGGGUUUAAAGGGAGCGUAGAUGGGUUGUUAACUCAUUUGGGAAAGUUGGCGGCGUAAACGUAAAAUUGCAAUUGAUACUGGCAGUCUUGAGUACAGGUGAGGUAUGCGGAAUUCGUGGUGUAGCGGUGAAAUGCUUAGAUAUCACGAAGAACCCCGAUUGCGAAGGCAGCUUACUAAACUGUGACUGACAUUGAUGCUCGAAAGUGUGGGUAUCAAACAGGAUUAGAUACCCCAGUAGUC
rnacentral:rRNA from 1 species